rnacentral:rRNA from 1 species
CGGACGGGUGAGUAAUGUCUGGGAAACUGCCCGAUGGAGGGGGAUAACUACUGGAAACGGUAGCUAAUACCGCAUAACGUCGCAAGACCAAAGAGGGGGACCUUAGGGCCUCUUGCCAUCGGAUGUGCCCAGAUGGGAUUAGCUAGUAGGUGGGGUAAUGGCUCACCUAGGCGACGAUCCCUAGCUGGUCUGAGAGGAUGACCGGCCACACUGGAACUGAGACACGGUCCAG